rnacentral:sRNA from 1 species
GCCAGGCACGGUGGGGCACACCUGUAAUCUCAGCAGCUUGAGAGGCUGAGGCAGGAGGAUUGCCAGUUUGAGGCCAGCCUCAGCAAUUUAGCCAGGCCCUAAGCAAUUUAGUGAGACCCUGUCUCAA